GUCCGACUAAGCCAUGCGAGUCAUGGGGUCCCUUCGGGGACACCGGCGGACGGCUCAGUAACACGUCGGUAACCUACCCUCGGGAGGGGGAUAACCCCGGGAAACUGGGGCUAAUCCCCCAUAGGCCUGGGGUACUGGAAGGUCCCCAGGCCGAAAGGGGCUUUUGCCCGCCCGAGGAUGGGCCGGCGGCCGAUUAGGUAGUUGGUGGGGUAACGGCCCACCAAGCCGAAGAUCGGUACGGGCCAUGAGAGUGGGAGCCCGGAGAUGGACACUGAGACACGGGUCCAGGCCCUACGGGGCGCAGCAGGCGCGAAACCUCCGCAAUGCGGGAAACCGCGACGGGGGGACCCCCAGUGCCGUGGCACAGCCACGGCUUUUCCGGAGUGUAAAAAGCUCCGGGAAUAAGGGCUGGGCAAGGCCGGUGGCAGCCGCCGCGGUAAUACCGGCGGCCCAAGUGGUGGCCGCUAUUAUUGGGCCUAAAGCGUCCGUAGCCGGGCCCGUAAGUCCCUGGCGAAAUCCCACGGCUCAACCGUGGGGCUUGCUGGGGAUACUGCGGGCCUUGGGACCGGGAGAGGCCGGGGGUACCCCUGGGGUAGGGGUGAAAUCCUAUAAUCCCAGGGGGACCGCCAGUGGCGAAGGCGCCCGGCUGGAACGGGUCCGACGGUGAGGAC
rnacentral:rRNA from 1 species